CAACACCGGUUCUCGUACGGUCAUUGAAGUUAAGCAGCAUUGAGCUUGGUCAGUACAUAGAUGGGUGACUGCUUGGGAAUACCAGGUGCUGUAAG